UAGUCGUGCGUCUUCAGCCAUGAUGGAGACGCGGCGCACAGCUCAGUAACACGUGGCUAACUUACCCUUGGGACGGAAACAACCCCGGGAAACUGGGGCUAAUUUCCGAUAGGUGAAGACUCCUGGAAUGGAUUUUCGCCCAAAAGACGCUUAGAUCAUGCUUCUAGGCGUUGCCCAAGGAUGGGGCUGCGGCCGAUCAGGUUGUUGGUGAGGUAACGGCUCACCAAGCCUUUAACCGGUUCGGGCCGUGGGAGCGGUAGCCCGGAGAUGGGUACUGAGACAAGGACCCAGGCCCUACGGGGUGCAGCAGUCGCGAAAACUUCACAAUGGGAGCAAUCCCGAUGAGGGAAUUCCAAGUGCCAACACACUGUGUUGGCUGUUCUCCUGUCUAAAAAGCAGGAGAAGUAAGGGCCGGGUAAGACGGGUGCCAGCCGCCGCGGUAAUACCCGCGGCCCGAGUGGUGGUCGAUAUUAUUGAGCCUAAAACGUCCGUAGCCGGUCUCGUAAAUCCCUGGGUAAAUCGGCCAGCUCAACUGUCCGAAUUCCGGGGAGACUGCGGGACUUGGGACCGGGAGAGGUCAGAGGUACUUCCGGGGUAGGGGUAAAAUCCUGUANNNNNGGAAGGACCACCGGUGGCGAAGGCGUCUGACUAGAANNNNNNCGACGGUGAGGGACGAA
rnacentral:rRNA from 1 species